rnacentral:rRNA from 1 species
UACAGAGGUCCCGAGCGUUGUUCGGAUUCAUUGGGCGUAAAGGGUGCGUAGGCGGCGGGGUAAGUUUGAUGUGAAAUUCCGGGGCUCAACCCUGGCAUGGCAUUGAAUACUACCUUGCUAGAGUACCGGAGAGGAAACUGGAAUUUACGGUGUAGCAGUGAAGUGCGUAGAGAUCGUAAGGAAGACCAGUGGCGAAGGCGAGUUUCUGGACGGUAACUGACGCUGAGGCACGAAGGCCAGGGGAGCAAACGGG